UACGAAGGACCCGAGCGUUAUCCGGAUUUAUUGGGUUUAAAGGGUGCGUAGGCGGACUUUCAAGUCAGUGGUGAAAGCCCAUCGCUCAACGAUGGAAUUGCCAUUGAAACUGUUGGUCUUGAGUACGGUUGAAGUGGGCGGAAUGUGUCAUGUAGCGGUGAAAUGCUUAGAUAUGACACAGAACACCUAUUGCGAAGGCAGCUCGCUAAGCCGUAACUGACGCUGAGGCACGAAAGUGUGGGUAGCAAACAGG
rnacentral:rRNA from 1 species